rnacentral:rRNA from 1 species
AACGAACGCUGGCGGCAUGCCUAACACAUGCAAGUCGAACGAGGCCUUCGGGUCUGGUGGCUCACGGGUUCGUAAAGCGGUGGAAAAUACCCUUGUAUUCGGACUAACUCCCUGAGAUGGGUGCUAAUACCGGGUAAUAUCUUCGGACACAAGAUGUCUCGCCUUGGGAUGGGGCCGCAUUGGAUUAGGUAGUUGGUAGGGUCAAAGCCUGCGAAGGAGACGAUCCAUAGCUGGUAUGAGAGCAGGACCAGCCACACUGGGACUCAGACACGGACCAGACUCCUACGCGAGGGAGCAGUGGGUAAUACUGGACGAUGGGCCAAAGCCUGACCCAGCAGUGCCGGGGGAGAGAUGAAGGCCGUAGGGUUGUAAAGUUCUUUUACCCGGGAUGAUAAUGACAGUACCGGCAGAAUAAGCUCCGGCUAACUACGUG